CCUACGGGGGGCUGCAGUGAGGAAUAUUGGUCAAUGGGCGUAAGCCUGAACCAGCCAAGUCGCGUGAGGGAUGAAGGUUCUAUGGAUCGUAAACCUCUUUUAUAAGGGAAUAAAGUGCGGGACGUGUCCCGUUUUGUAUGUACCUUAUGAAUAAGGAUCGGCUAAUUCCGUGCCAGCAGCCGCGGUAAUACGGAAGGUACGGGCGUUAUCCGGAUUUAUUGGGUUUAAAGGGAGCGUAGGCCGGCUUUUAAGUCAGCUGUGAAAGUCCGCGGCUCAACCGUGGAAUUGCAGUUGAAACUGGAGGCCUUGAGUGCACACAGGGAGGCCGGAAUUCAUGGUGUAGCGGUGAAAUGCUUAGAUAUCAUGAAGAACUCCGAUCGCGAAGGCAAGUGUCCGGGGUGCAACUGACGCUGAGGCUCGAAAGUGCGGGUAUCAAACAGGAUUAGAGACCCGUGUAGUC
rnacentral:rRNA from 1 species